UUUGCCAGCGGACCGCUUCGCCGGUCCCAUUCUAUGGAAACACAGCCCGGAGAGUAAGUUAACAAUGAAAUCACGUGGAGUUAGGAGCAUAGUAAGCUCUAGCCCCAGCUCCUCCGAGCUCUUCGCUCCAAGGGGUCGGCUCAGAAGAGCAGCAAGGGGGACACCGGCUGUGACGGAGCCUGACAGGGAAGAACGAACUGCUGGCAGUGCGAUCUAGAAACCCUCACUCAAGAUCCAUCGCAGAUGGUUCCGAACCACAGAAGCCUAUGGCGAGCAGACUCUGGAGCGGAAAGUUUAUAAGUCGAAUGAACGAAAUCUACGAAAUCUACGGAGACCGAGACCCAGUGAGUCAGGCUGGCAAUGUAGCUCAGCUCCUAGAGUGCUUGCCUAGCACGCGGGAGGUCCUGAGCUCGAGCCCCAUCAUAAUACUGGAUGCGGUGGUGGCACACUUGUUGUCCCAAGACUCCACAGCGGGCAUGGAGAGGAUCUCAAGCUUAUCCUCAGAUAAUUAACGUGUGUGCUGAAACAUGGACGGAAAUCUGGUUACUGAGCAGUUGGCAGCCAUGGGUGGAGAGGAAGACAUACUUGUCAGAAUAAAAGAAUGAACAGGAGGCAGUUCGGCACCAAUCUCUGUGAGACCCUAGUCUCUCCAGGAAC